CUUGGACGCGCUCCCACAAGUCCAGCUGAGCCUCCGAGUGGGCUUUUGGUUCCCCGCCAAACGCCACAGCUCUUCCCACUGCGGCGUGGAAGGAAGACGGACAAAAUGGCAUGUGAGGAACUUCCAAAAAGUGUCCAGCUUUCGGAGGCUAUCUUCUCCCCAGUGCCUCCGUUGUGGACUGCUAUCUCAACGAGAGUUGGGCUCAAGACGUUUUUCUUCACAAGUUUUUUGUGCGGGGUGUCUGGCAUCAUGGACCACCAUAAGCCCAUGGGCUCCACUCCAGUGUAACUUCCUCCCAGAGAGGGGGUGCUACUCACAUCGACCAGGCCUUUUUCAUCCGCUUGGUAGAGGGCGGAAGCUUUGAAAAUCACCCCUUUGUCGUCAACCAAUCUGGACCUUAAUUCCACCUGCUUGUGUGGCGCGAGACCCUCGACUUUGACUUGAACCAGUUUGUCAAAGAGACAGCGGACACUGGGGAGGAUUUUCAGGCGGAUCUGGGCCAUUUCAAUUUUAAGGCAGAUUUGUGACUCACACAAAUGAAUUGAACGAUGCUUUCAUUGUCGUUGCCACAGCGUCUGUCAAAACAAUCAACAUGACUCAUGAAUAAUCUAUCAUUGCCUAUGUUAGAAAAAGAGAAAAGGACAAAGACAAGUUCAAACAGCCCUUUCGAGGUCAAAUUUGUGCACAUUGCUGUUUGAUAGGUUAUACCUAUGCGUGAAAAUAUUCCCGCAACAUUUAUUUGCGUGAUUAAUGGUGUGGUUAACGCCCCCUUUGACAUUUUGAUGCUGCGCAAGGGCAUCAACAAAGAUUGUGUGAUGUUUCACUGGGUGAAAGGUAACACAGUGCACCAAUGUCUUGUUGAAUACCUGAAAACAAAAUUAGGGGUCAAGUCACAACAAGGUGAAUCGCAGUUUUACAUUGUGCAGAAAAGUCGUAGUAAUAAACAGUAAUAAAAAAACUCAUGGACUAAGUACAAGUUAAAGCUUGAUUAUCGCUGUUAAUCUACGUUUGAGAGAUGAUGGUUUGAAAUGAUUUGAAAAGGAACGCACAUUGAAAGUAAUGCAUAAAAAUCCCUCCGUUUCAGCAAAAAGACUGAAAA